rnacentral:rRNA from 1 species
AUUCCAGCUCCAAUAGCGUAUAUUUAAGUUGUUGCAGUUAAAAAGCUCGUAGUUGGAUUUCGGUUGAGAGCGGCCGGUCCGCCGUUUGGUGUGCACUGGCUGGUUUCAGCUUCCUGCAGAGGACGCGCUCUGGGCUUAAUCGUCUGGACGUGGAGUCUGCGUGGUUACUUUGAAAAAAUUAGAGUGUUCAAAGCGGGCUUACGCUUGAAUAUUUCAGCAUGGAAUAACACUAUAGGACUCCUGUCCUAUUUCGUUGGUCUCGGGACGGGAGUAAUGAUUAAGAGGAACAGUUGGGGGCAUUCGUAUUUCAAUGUCAGAGGUGAAAUUCUUGGAUUUUUGAAAGACGAACUUCUGCGAAAGCAUUUGCCAAGGAUGUUUUCAUCG